GACACGCUGGCGGCGUGCCUAACACAUGCAAGUCGAGCGAAUGAAGUUCCUUCGGGAACGGAUUUAGCGGCGGACGGGUGAGUAACACGUGGGCAACCUGCCUCAUAGAGGGGAAUAGCCUUCCGAAAGGGAGAUUAAUACCGCAUAAGAUUGUAGUACCGCAUGGUACAGCAAUUAAAGGAGUAAUCCGCUAUGAGAUGGGCCCGCGGCGCAUUAGCUAGUUGGUGAGGUAACGGCUCACCAAGGCGACGAUGCGUAGCCGACCUGAGAGGGUGAUCGGCCACAUUGGGACUGAGACACGGCCCAGACUCCUACGGGAGGCAGCAGUGGGGAAUAUUGCACAAUGGGGGAAACCCUGAUGCAGCAACGCCGCGUGAGUGAUGACGGCCUUCGGGUUGUAAAGCUCUGUCUUCAGGGACGAUAAUGACGGUACCUGAGGAGGAAGCCACGGCUAACUACGUG
rnacentral:rRNA from 1 species